rnacentral:lncRNA from 1 species
AUGGUACACAAUUGAAAACUUAAGAAUUUCUUUUCACUUCUAGAAUUUUCUGUUUAAUAUUUUCAGACCACUGUGGUCUGUGGAUACCUGAGUCAUUGGAAAGUGGCAUUGCUAUUGAAGGGUGAGCUACUGUGCACUGAUGUCAUACAAUUUAGUCUCCAUAGUUCUUCUUUUGUGUAGAAAGUAGGCAACAGAGCUCCAAAUGAGGUAGACUUAUUUGUUUUGUUUCGUUUUACAGGGCAUAUCUCGAGAGCAGAAAAAGAAAAAAUUCUAUGUGCUGAAACUCUAGGAGAAACUAUUUGGAGCCUGCCCCUUUGGGACAGAGCAGCAGAGGAGCCCAGCAGCAGCGUGUGACCCUCUAUGAGCCCGCCCCUUCAGCAAAGAGCAGCAGAGGAGCCCAGCUGGCACAGCCAUAUUUGUGUGUCCUCCCUUCCCCAUCCCCUGUGAACAAGAGAAAGAAGGCCUGUCUGAGGCUCCUAGAUGAAAAUUGAAGCCCUCUGGAAAAGUGAAGAAAAUCUCUGCAGUAAAGGCAGAGCAGGCCACCAUAGUUGGUAAGUUGGAGGGACCAGCACAUCAAAUCAGAACCUGGUCUGUUUUCAGGGGAAGAACAACUGGAAGGUGCAGUAGAACCCUGCAGAGUUCAACCCAGCAGAAGGUCAGAGAUCUCAACUUGGGCCUUGCAGCGGA